rnacentral:rRNA from 1 species
GACGAACGCUGGCGGCGUGCCUAAUACAUGCAAGUAGAACGCAGUUGCGAACGGGUGAGUAACGCGUAGGUAACUACCUCAUAGCGGGGGAUAACUAUUGGAAACGAUAGCUAAUACCGCAUACUAUGAGAUGGACCUGCGUUGUAUUAGCUAGUUGGUGAGGUAACGGCUCACCAAGGCGACGAUACAUAGGCGACCUGAGAGGGUGAUCGGCCACUCGAGGACUGAGACACGGCCCAGACUUCUACGGGAGGCAGCAGUGGAGAAUCUUCGGCAAGGGACGGAAGUCGGACCGAGCAACGCCGCGUGAGAGAAGAAGGUUUUCGGAGUGGAAAGCUCUGUUGUUAGAGAAACGGUAACUAACCAAAAAGGGACGGCUAACUACGUACCAGCCGCGGUAAUUC